rnacentral:rRNA from 1 species
AUGGAUGAUGACGGCGAUCUCGUUCUCUAUCGGAGAAUGAAGAGACACAGUAAGGCAUUUGUUCUGUGGCUGUCUUUCCGUUGCUGGUGUGUUAUGAAUUUGAUUGAUGUUCCUUGGUUUGCAGGGAGAAGGGACAAGGAUCAUGUGCUCACCGUGCAGCACGGCGUCACCUCUUUGCUCCGGAGCGUCGGGCUUCUUGCUAGAGAGCAUUCAGUGUCGGAUUUCCUACUGUGUAUCAUCCUUCUUUCAUUUGUGGUCCAUUGUUUGCUGUUGUUGGUUUACAUGUUUGGAAGGCAGCCAUGCUGCUAA